rnacentral:tRNA from 1 species
GGAGGUAUAGCUCAGUGGUAGAGUGCUUGCCUAGUAUUCGCAAGACCCUGGGUUCAAUACCUAGUGUCAUUA